rnacentral:rRNA from 1 species
GUCAGCAUACCGCGGUGAAUGUGUUCCUGAGCCUUGUACACACCGCCCGUCAAGCCACGAAAGUGGGGGGGACCCGAAGUCGCCGAGCUAACUCGCAAGAGAGGCAAGCGCCGAAGGUCACCUCCGCGAUUGGGACUAAGUCGUAACAAGGUAGCCGUAGGGGAACCUGCGGCUGGAUCACCUCCUUU